AUCAAGCUUCAGGGUACUGUGUAAUUCAGAAUCGGUGGUAAAGUCCAUGAGCUGCGUCAGCAGUUGAUUCGGUGAAAUUCCGAAACCGACGGUAUAGUCCGGAUGAAAGAAGAACGAU
rfam:Ruminococcus sp. CAG:254 genomic scaffold, scf644